rnacentral:rRNA from 1 species
UACGUAGGGUCCGAGCGUUGUCCGGAAUUACUGGGCGUAAAGAGCUCGUAGGUGGUUUGUCGCGUUGUUCGUGAAAACUCACAGCUCAACUGUGGGCGUGCGGGCGAUACGGGCAGACUGGAGUACUGCAGGGGAGACUGGAAUUCCUGGUGUAGCGGUGAAAUGCGCAGAUAUCAGGAGGAACACCGGUGGCGAAGGCGGGUCUCUGGGUAGUAACUGACGCUGAGGAACGAAAGCGUGGGUAGCGAACAGG